AUGGUAAUUAGUUGCACUGGGUUAAUAAAACACAGAUGUUCAGGGCAAAUAUUACUUGAAAUGUCUCUCCCUCUGCCAGGAUGCAGCUGUCAAUUGUUUGGUGCUACGCUGCCCUCUGCUGGUUAUAUAUUGCUGCAAUAUGUUAAUGAGUUCAGUGGCAGAAGCACGUGGAGCUGUGACUUCAUAUUUAAACAUGUAAAUGAAAACAAAGCUGUGGGGGAAAGUUUGUUGUGUGGAAAACAACAGAUUGUAUUUUGUCUAUGGGAAAAGCGCAGCUGUUUUAUACAAGAAAGGAAUUCCUAUGGGUUUGAAAUGACAUCAGGCUUUUCGUUUAAAGCUCCAGUCUGGAUGACAGGACAAGACACAGAAAAUGAACCUGAAUUCAGUAUCAGGACAAUGAGAUUAGAUGGCUUUCUGCUUUUGGACAUAGUUGAUCAUGGACUGUAUUAGUGAUAUGCCUGGAAAAACAUCCAUGGUGUUACAAUAAUUGAAAUGCAUUCUUUGCUGCAGCAGGUGUGCUGGUUAAAAUGGUUUAGUAAGUCGUUACCAUGGAAAUUUUCCUGUUAAAGUAAACUGGUUUAUGGGACAGUGGCUGAAUGAAUGAAGUAGAAAAGAGUGCUUAUAAUAAGAAAUAAAGGGGAAAUAAUAGGGAAUAGGAAAGAAAUUACUUGCUUCAGUUCAAAUCCAGAUGUUAGUAGGCAGGACUGUUAACCUCUAUGUUUUUGGUCCCUUUGUUCUAUAUCAUACGACUAGCUAUUUCGACUAUUACAGGAUGGGACACUGACUCAUUAAAUAUCAACACAAGUUUUAGAGAUGUGUGUACUGUUUGUAUUCAGGUGUUUCUUCAACUAUGGGAAUUUUUAGUCCUUUAAGAAAUGUAAACUCAUUCAUUUAAUUUGUCCACUAAUAACUCUAAUGUUUAAAAGUUGAUAAACAUACCGCUUUCAUGAACCUUCACGAACAUUUGCACCACAGCUCAAAUCAUAAUUCAUCAGAAUUCUGUGGUGGAAAUUAAAUGUUUUAUUUUUUUAUAUUUUGGAAUAAAAUUACCAAAAAACAUAGCAAGCAUUUUACGCAUCCUUAACAUUUUCAGACUGUCAAAAAUUACAGUUUUAUUGAAAAUGCAACAAAAAAAAAAAGUUUUAAAUAUAUAAAAAUAUAUUAUAAACAUACUGCAUUUUGCAAAAUCCAUAGCUUUCAAACAAUAAAUAUUAAAAUAACGACUAACGACCGACAUCUUCUAUAAUUAGACUUUUGAAACAUGCAAUAAACUUUUUAUAAUGAUUUUUUUUUUAUUAUUUUAGAAUUAAAAACAUAAAACCAUAAAAGGAAUUUGAAAAGUCUUUCUAAAAAAUCUCUAGUUUUAAUGUGACCUUCACAUAGCAAAAAAGUGAAAAGUCGAAAUCUAUAAGUAUAUAAGUAUAAAAAUCAAUCCCUGGGACAUAAAGUGGCCGUAGUUGAAGAAACAGUCUUUCAUAAAUGAACAUGUUAAUGCUUUGGAUGUGAGAAACAGUCACCGCUGAGACAGAUGAUGAGAGAAAGAGAAAUAAAUGAGACCGAUAAGACAGAAAUAAGACGAGGAAAGCAAAAGAGACGUCCCCCAGUCAAACUAGCAUCCGUGAGUGGAUGUUCUGACAUAAUCAGACACAUAAAGCAAAAAAUCACGACACUACCAACAAAAAAAUAAAUGAACCAAUGAGGCGCCUGAAUGACAAUCAUGUUUUGAGUCCUUUCCACAGCAAAACCUAACAUGAGUCAAACAAUGAAUCCGGCCCUGUGUGUGUGUGUGUGUGUGUGUGUGUGUGUGUGUGUGUGUGUGUGUCCGUCCGUCGUGUGUGUGUGUGUGUGUGUGUGUGUGUGUGUGUGUGUGUGUGUGUGUGUACCUCUUGGGCCUCUCGUUCAGGCUGGUGCUGCGUGCUCUGAAGCUGCUCUGCUCUUGAGUGUCAUCGAACGGCAGAAGAGCGUUUGAACGGAGACCCUAAUCACAAAUAAAAACACACUUCACGUCAAGACCAACAGAUCUGUCCAGUUUGUAAACACAUGAGCCCGAAACAAUCCCAUCAACCACCUUGGUGAUGUACUGAACAAAGUCUUUCCUGAAAGGCAGUCUGCAGCGUAUGAACCACAUGGCGAUCACGUGAUGGGCGAGAGACACUAUGUACUGAUUAAACCUACAGAGAACGAGGAAAAACAAGAAAACACAUCAUUUAAGAUCAUUCUGCCUUUGAAAUACAAGUCUCAUAUGCUCACAGAGGCUGCACUUAUUUGAGUAAUAUUGUGAAAAAUUAUUACAAAUUAAAAUAAAUGUUUUCUAUGUGAAUAUAUUAUAAAAUGUAAUUUAUUCCUGUGAUCAAAGCUGAAUUUUCAGCAUCAUUACUCCAGUCUUCAUUGUCACAUGAUCCUUCAGAAAUCAUUCUAAUAUACUGAUUUGAGAAACAUUUAUUAUUAAUAUCAGUGUUGAAAACAGCUGUGCUACUUCAUCUUUUUGUGGAAACUCUUGAUGAAUUCCUUCAUGAACAGAAAGUUCAAAAGAACAGCCUUUAUUUGAAAUAGAAAUCUUUUGUAACAUUAUAAAUGAACCUCAAGUAGUCAAAUAUUAUAAUUAAGAAAGAUGAUGGCUACAUAUACUGUCUGAUUACUGUGUGUGUGUGACCAUACUCACUUUGAGGGGUUGGUGUAUGGCAAUGAUAUGGCAAACACGCUGACGUACUGCUCAGCUACGAAGUUAGCAUACAGAUGUGGGAGCCGCACUAAUGCUAAGAGAGAGAGUUGAGACAGACAGCAUCAGCACUUGAGCUGUAUUUGAUGCAGAGGUGUCAUUUUGCUGUGGUUGUAUCCUAAAUGUAGAAUGUAUACUACAUUCUGAUUGGUCAGACGGUGAGAAUGGGCAGGAAAAGCCAAAAAAGGCUUGUACUCACUGGACAGGAAUUCCAGCAUUGGUGAGGCCAUGGCAACGGUUGCCGAGAUGUGCGUGAGCUUGACGAUGAGGGCGGGCAGGAGUUUGAUCAUGAUGUCGGGCAUCUCUACGGUGCACAUGGUCAGAGCCACCACACACUGCUUAGCACAGCGGUAAAUCAGGCCCUUCUCCAAACACUGAACCAGCUCCCUCUGAGACAGCAGCAGAAUACAUGCACAAAUACACACUUAUCCAAUAAAUUCUGAUGAUUGGCUACUAUCACCUCCUGAACUGUCUGAUACGCUAAUCAAUGUCUGAUCUGCUGCCAACGGAAUAAUAAAUUAAUACUUAAAAGCAAGAAUAAAUGAAUAAUACAUUUAUAAUAAAUACAUUUAAAUAAAUAAAUAAAUGAAUUUACACUUAAUUCAAGUGUAAGAAUAAAUGUAGGUAAAUGUGUUCUUACAUUAAAUGUAUUAAUUAUAUGUAAUAAUACACUUUAAUUUCAUUGAGUUGAAAUUUAAUAAUACAUUAAAGUAAAUGUAUACUUAAUUUAAAUUUAAUAAAA
rnacentral:lncRNA from 1 species